rnacentral:rRNA from 1 species
UACGUAGGGGGCAAGCGUUGUCCGGAAUCAUUGGGCGUAAAGCGCGCGUAGGCGGCUCAGUAAGGUUGCGGUGAAAGCCCGGGGCUCAACCCCGGGUCGGCCGUGGCAACUGCUGGGCUGGAGCACUGUAGAGGCAGGUGGAAUUCCGGGUGUAGCGGUGGAAUGCGUAGAGAUCCGGAAGAACACCGGUGGCGAAGGCGGCCUGCUGGGCAGUAGCUGACGCUGAGGCGCGACAGCGUGGGGAGCAAACAGG